UGUCGCCGUUCGUCACCUUCGUCGGUUCCGUCUCCGACCACCUUAGACGCCGCAAGCUAGACAGCCUGCAGACUGUUCCAGCUAGGUAGUACCUUCAAGAACAUGGAUGUGUGACUAGUGCGUAGGCACGCAGGGCACAUGUGGUUUCCUGACGUGUGGAAUAAGGAAGGUCCCUUAAGAACCCUGUCUCCGACUGAGUCACUACACGUGCAUGGACCAUGUGACUGAAUGGGAAAACCUCUCGGUGGUAUGGUGGGGGCGGGGGUGUGUUCUUACUCCAGGCAGCGGCUAAUGAAGUCGUGGAACUCCGUGUCCUGGCUCCCGAGUGCCAGGUAGAGGGGGUGACUGCCUGGGACCCUGCUUUGUCCGGACAUCAAAGGCAUCCCCGAACCAUCUGCAGGAACGAUGCAGACCAGGUAAAGCCCACUGAACUAUUGCCUCUUCUUCAGAGGCGACCAGGCAAAGGGGAGAAGAUAUGUUCCCGCAAUGGACAGCAGCCAGGGUGGGGAUCCACGUGACGACCUUCUACAUUGCAGCCACUCGGGUGUUGGUCUUGUGGUCACGGCAUUUGAAGAUCUGGCUGUAAGGUCCGACCACCUUCUUCAGCACCUCAUACCGGAAAUUGAGGUGCUCAUGCUCGACCUGCGGAGCAAUCACAUCAACUAAGUAUACUGAUCCAGUCACUGCUCAUUCAGUCACUGAGUAUGGAUGCAAUAUUUUGUAUGGCAUGUGUAAGAGUGAUUGUGUGAAUGUGUCGGGUAUGUUGUCCGCCUGUUCUGCAGAUGAUCAUGGUGUUUGUCAGUGUGCAGACUUUGUAUGUUCUCCACUUAUUACGUGCCCUGAGGAGAGCCGUACCGAGACAUAAUGGUUGAAGACAUCAUCGUAGCCAUGGUUCUGGGUGCCAAAGCCUUUGUUAUGGACGCCGAAAUACCAGAUGUUAUUCACGGUGAGGACCUCGCUUCUCUCGGUGGGGGUCAGGAAAUCCCCAAAGAGCUUCAAGAUUUCUGAAAACAAAAGAACAAUGAUGAUGAUUAAUACUGUACUAUUGUUUUAAUAUUGUUUUGUUAAAUAAAACGUUUUUGUUUCUUUAAUUUGUUCAUUAAGCAAUGUAGUGUUUUUUUUUUCCAUUGGAUUUUUAACCAAUUCCGUAUUCCUGUAACAUGUGAAGAACAGACUAAUGACAAAUUUGGUAUCACCACCUAUGUAACCGCGCUUUUGACAUGAAGACUUGUUUAACAUCCAAACGAUCGCAGGACACCCAUGAAACAUAACCUGGCUGCUUAUUUGGCCCUUCCUGCUGAAAUGAUAAUAAAAUAUACGAUGCUUGUUUACCCAAGAAA